AUUGAACGCUGGCGGCAGGCCUAACACAUGCAAGUCGAGCGGAUGAAGGGAGCUUGCUCCUGGAUUCAGCGGCGGACGGGUGAGUAAUGCCUAGGAAUCUGCCUGGUAGUGGGGGAUAACGUCCGGAAACGGGCGCUAAUACCGCAUACGUCCUGAGGGAGAAAGUGGGGGAUCUUCGGACCUCACGCUAUCAGAUGAGCCUAGGUCGGAUUAGCUAGUUGGUGGGGUAAAGGCCUACCAAGGCGACGAUCCGUAACUGGUCUGAGAGGAUGAUCAGUCACACUGGAACUGAGACACGGUCCAGACUCCGACGGGAGGCAGCAGUGGGGAAUGUUGGACAAUGGGCGAAAGCCUGAUCCAGCCAUGCCGCGUGUGCGAAGAAGUUCUUCGGAUUGUAAAGCACUUUAAGUUGGGAGGAAGGGCAGUAAGUUAAUACCUUGCUGUUUUGACGUUACCAACAGAAUAAGCACCGGCUAACUUCGUG
rnacentral:rRNA from 1 species